CCUGGCUCAGAACGAACGCUGGCGGCAUGCCUAACACAUGCAAGUCGAACGAACCCUUCGGGGUUAGUGGCGCACGGGUGCGUAACGCGUGGGAACCUGCCUUUAGGUUCGGAAUAACAGUGAGAAAUUACUGCUAAUACCGAAUAAUGUCUUCGGACCAAAGAUUUAUCGCCUUUAGAUGGGCCCGCGUAAGAUUAGCUUGUUGGUGGGGUAAUGGCCUACCAAGGCGACGAUCUUUAGCUGGUCUGAGAGGAUGAUCAGCCACACUGGGACUGAGACACGGCCCAGACUCCUACGGGAGGCAGCAGUGGGGAAUAUUGGACAAUGGGCGAAAGCCUGAUCCAGCAAUGCCGCGUGAGUGAUGAAGGCCUUAGGGUUGUAAAGCUCUUUUACCAGGGAUGAUAAUGACAGUACCUGGAGAAUAA
rnacentral:rRNA from 1 species